rnacentral:rRNA from 1 species
GACGAACGCUGGCGGCGUGCUUAACACAUGCAAGUCGAGCGGUAAGGCCCUUUCGGGGGUACACGAGCGGCGAACGGGUGAGUAACACGUGGGUGACCUGCCCUCAGCUCUGGGAUAAGCCUGGGAAACCGGGUCUAAUACCGGAUAUGACUCCAUGACGCAUGUUGUGGGGUGGAAAGCCUUGUGCGGCUGAGGAUGGGCCCGCGGCCUAUCAGCUUGUUGGUGGGGUGAUGGCCUACCAAGGCGACGACGGGUAGCCGGCCUGAGAGGGCGACCGGCCACACUGGGACUGAGACACGGCCCAGACUCCUACGGGAGGCAGCAGGUGGGGAAUCUUGCGCAAUGGGCGAAAGCCUGACGCAGCGACGCCGCGUGAGGGAUGACGG